rnacentral:rRNA from 1 species
UACGGAGGAUGCGAGCGUUAUCCGGAUUUACUGGGUUUAAAGGGUGCGUAGGCGGCUGUUCAAGUCAGCGGUGAAAUGCAAGGGCCCAACCCUUGACGUGCCGUUGAAACUGAGUGGCUAGAAUGCGGAUGCUGUGGGAGGAAUGUGUAGUGUAGCGGUGAAAUGCAUAGAUAUUACACAGAACACCGAUUGCGAAGGCAUCUCACAAAUCCGCGAUUGACGCUGAGGCGCGAAAGCCGGGGGAGCAAAC